rnacentral:misc_RNA from 1 species
AAGUCGUAACAAGGUUUCCGUAGGUGAACCUGCGGAAGGAUCAUUAAAAAAGGAUACCGGGCAACCGGUAGACCCCACCCGUGUCUCUCUACUCUUGUUGCUUUGGCAGGCCGUGGCCUCCACCGCGGGCUCUGCCUGCGUGUGCCUGCCAGAGGACCAAACUCUGAAUUUUAGUGAUGUCUGAGUACUAUAUAAUAGUUAAAACUUUCAACAACGGAUCUCUUGGUUCUG